GUUUAUGGGCAUAACCCCCCAAUUCCGGAAGUUAAGUAUGGUCAGGCCUGGCCAGUAGUUGGAUGGGAGACCACCAGAGAAUACUGGUUGCUGUAGACU
ensembl:rRNA 5S_rRNA 5S ribosomal RNA